rnacentral:rRNA from 1 species
GACGAACGCUGGCGGCGUGCUUAACACAUGCAAGUCGAACGGAAAGGCCCUGCUUUUGUGGGGUGCUCGAGUGGCGAACGGGUGAGUAACACGUGAGUAACCUGCCCUUGACUUUGGGAUAACUUCAGGAAACUGGGGCUAAUACCGGAUAGGAGCUCCUGCUGCAUGGUGGGGGUUGGAAAGUUUCGGCGGUUGGGGAUGGACUCGCGGCUUAUCAGCUUGUUGGUGGGGUAGUGGCUUACCAAGGCUUUGACGGGUAGCCGGCCUGAGAGGGUGACCGGCCACAUUGGGACUGAGAUACGGCGCAGACUCCUACGGGAGGCAGCAGUGGGGAAUAUUGCACAAUGGGCGGAAGCCUGAUGCAGCAACGCCGCGUGCGGGAUGACGGCCUUCUGGUUGUAAACCGCUUUCGCCUGUGACGAAGCGUGAGUGACGGUAAUGGGUAAAGAAGCACCGGCUAACUACGUG